rnacentral:rRNA from 1 species
UACGAGGGGGGCAAAUGUUGUUCGGAAUCACUGGGCGUAAAGGGAGCGUAGGCGGGUUUUUAAGUCAGGUGUUUAAUCCCGGGGCCCAACCCCGGACCGGCACUUGAAACUGGGAAUCUUGAAUAGGGGAGAGGUCAGUGGAAUUGGAGGUGUAGCGGUGGAAUGCGUAGAGAUCUCCAAGAACACCAGUUGCGAAGGCGGCUGACUGGACCCAUAUUGACGCUGAGGCUCGAAAGCAUGGGGAGCAUACAGG